ensembl:lincRNA
CUUUCAUUUUCUGGCCUCUGGGAGAAAACGUUUAUUUAUUUUAUUUUGAGGAGGCCAAGACAGUUGAACUUUUAGGGAGUGCUGUAAUUUACUAGAGGGAGGAGGCAAGGGCUCAGAUUCACAAGCAAUUGGUGGGAAACUAGGCCUCAAAGCAGAAAAUGAAAAGUCGAUCUGGGGGAAGAUUUUUAAAUAAGUGGGUCAGAGGGACUGAGCGGAGAUGAGGCGAUCAAUCUUAGCCCCCUGACAGCUCUCUCGGAUUGCAUCAAAGAAUUUGGUUCUUUGGGAAAGCAGAAGGAACAGCCGAAAUUCCACAUCCCUUAAAAAGGCCUGAGGGAGGGGGUGGCAAAAAGAGAAAGGUGAUUCUGGGAGAGCCAGGAAACAGAUGGGAAAUGGGGACAGAGGGAAGGCGCUGAGUUGGGUGGAAAGUUUGCCCCAGAACUCCCACGGCUCGGGCCUCCCCUCCCCCUCCCGGCUCUCCGUCGCCGGCCCAGCCGGGGCGGAGAAGGGCUGCUUAGCCGGGAAACGGCGUCUCAGCCUGGAGCUGGAACUAGAAACUUUCUGUCAGUGUAACAUCCGCGUGGGUGGUGGGAGGCCUGGGAGAGCGCUCUCCGGCAGGCCCGGUGGUCACCUCUGCAAGUUUUCUAACAACCGCUACAGUUGGCUGCAAGCAGGUACCCUGGGCCCAGGCGGACCCGAGCACGAAAUACAGCUCUCCAGACCUCGCUGACAGAUUUUAUGACCAGAUUAGGGAAGAGCGGAAAACUUGGGUGUUAAAAGAGGCCGGGAGAACCCUCCUUCCCAGAGACACCCCCUCCUCCCAGCCCCCCGUUGUGCUGGGAAUUACGGCGUGCAGACAUUUCACCCACGUCUCCCGCCUGACGAGCCCCUGGCAGAGAGGAGGGGAGGGAGCUCCAGGCCAGGUUGGUCUGAGUUUUGUUUGCAACCCCAGCUUCCACCAAAGCUCUGCUUUGCGUAUUCUAUCUAAAUCCUCUCCCUCGGCCUGCCUGUCUUCCACCAGCUAGAUAAAUAAGCAGUCCAUCCCACCUCCAGAGCCAAACACGGGGCUUCAUCUAGUUACCUCAUUCACAAAAUGCUCUUCAGAGAAGAGAGAAAUAGACAGACCCUUGAGCGUUAUUUGAUCCCAAUCAAACUUCGCAUGCUCUUCUGCCUCUAAAUUAUAGCCUGACCCAAUGCUAAAUUGCUUGUGCCUGGAUGAGCCCAGUCCAGUUAAAAUCCGACUGGGCUGUGUGUGUGUGUGUGUGUGUGUGUGUGUGGUGUGUGUGUGUGUGUGUUUGCAGAAUUCAGCUUGCUUUUUUAUUGUUAUUUAUCCUUGCAUAAAGGCUGUAAUUACUAACCUUGGGUUGCCAGGAUGCAACAUAAAAAUGAAAAUCAGCUUUCGCUUUAAAGCUGAGGGCCUGGAAUGAAACCUCCCCACCCCCACCACAAAUAUAUGCUCCUAAUUAAGCAAUGCGGGUGCAUCGCUUACAAUUAGAAUUAUGCAACUCUUCAGCGAGCAGCCAUCGCUUCUCUUUCAACGAAUUAGCUCCAUAUUUCAGCCACCCUGUCUCCGCGCUCUUAUCGGCUCCAGCGACACGGAGGUGACAUUUCAUCUGUGACAGACCCUCUCCAUCCUCGCUCCAAUGCGAUAAAACUUUUAUGGAACCGCGACUAAGAAAUGAAGUUUUCCCAAGGAUCAUGGAAACAGAGCUGCACAUUUGCCUGGGGACCAUUUUAUUUACGCUUGCAACCAACAUUUUCUCCCACUCUUUCCCUCUUUUCCUGGCUGGGGAAAUCAAAAUCCCCUCCUCUCCCUUGGACCCCAAGUUUUAUUUAGUGAUUUAAUUUCACUUUACUUUCAAGGUUUGACCCGAGAAGCCUAGGGAUCAGAUUUUUUUCUUUUUCUUUUUUUUUUUUAGAUUAAUCGUUUUCCUUUGUUUUCGUUUUAGACCCAAUGGUGGUUCGGCUUCAGGUCACGUGACCACUUCUUUGUAGCUCCGGAAGACGAUUGUGAAGUUUAGGUUGCUUAGAAGAAACAGUAAUCGGCCAGAUUUUUGUUUGGUUUUGCUUUGCUUUUGGGGAGUGGUGGUGGGGUGGAAGGUGGCACAACAGAGGUUGUAGCCGAAGGAGGAACCAGACAAAAGGUCAAGCAAUGAGAAAAAUGGAGCAGCAGAAGGCUAAACAGAAAGACCCAGGGGACCAGAGUCCCUUCCCACCCCCAACUUGCUACUGAAAUCUUAGCUAAGGGAGUGGGCAAGAGGUUUCAGGAUCCUAUGUGUGAUUUCUUUUUUAAUCCCUGUAUUUCAACCCCAAAAACCUCAAAGGGGAGAUGGGGACCUGAGCGGGUGGACAAAAAGGCCAGGGAGGGUCUUCAAUAUUUUCCUUCCCUUGCUGAAUAGAAAUUUGGCGGUCAGGAGCCUUGUGCUACUAUCUAAAUUGGAGCAUUAGAACGAGAUAAAAUUGAUAACAGAAAGUUUAUUCGAGAAUUGUGUGACAGACAACCCUUUUAAGUAAGGAAAAAAAGUAACUACAGAAGAACAAAGAAAGUUCCAAGAGGGAAUUAACUAACUCUACAAAUUCAGGACUAUACAGUGACCAUUAGGAGCUGAGUUUCAUGCCAUUUAGAACUAAUUACAAUCGUCAUAAUUACGAGGUUAACAUAAAUCUACAGCUCUUUAUUCUAGAGUACAAGAAAAACUAAAAUAGCCGGGUUUACAUGACAGAAAACACAACGCCCUUUAUAACAAGUAAAUACUAAAAAAAGUACAAUUUUUCCUUUUCUCCUCAUAUAAAUACAUAAUGUGGGGGGGAUAAAUAAUACAAAAAAGAAAAUAUUUUAACAGGCUAUAACCAAUAAAUAUAUAUGAAAAUGUUCACUAGAACACACGCUUUUUGAGCGAUGCUGGGCUUCUACAGGCCCAGGCAUCUCUCACAGUUGUUUUUAUAUCCAUUAAAAUGUAAACUCUAAGUGCAACAAAAGUGUCCCGGCAGCAGGCUGAGCAGGCCACACAUAGGCCCUGCUGCAGCCCCUGCCUGGGACAAACAGUUUGUUCAAAUAUACCCUGUUUUCACGUUAAGUCAAGAGAGCAACAGAAGAAAAGUGGAAAAAAUUCACGUGGCUGAUUGCUUUCUGCAGAGAGAGGGGGAUGGACCAGGAGCUGAGAUAAGGGCAGCAGAACAGGCAAAACUUCAGUCCUUGCCUGCCUCGGCCUCCUCUUUCCCUUCAAAGAAAAAAAUAUAUAUAUUUAUACUAUAGGCAGCUCUGACUUUCAGGAUCUGUCACCAUCCCUGAGCCCUCUGAAAACUGUCACUGAUGGGGGUGAGGGGUACGAGUGAAUUGUCUCGGGGCAGAAAACCAUGGGGCUGGCGGUGGAGGCCUGGGCUGAGAAACCUCGGACCGGCCAACAACAAGGAGGGUUCGGGGAAGCCGGAGGGGGACGAGCUCUGUGCCCUUGGGUUUCAAUGUGUUUUCUUAUUUUCUUAAGGAGAGUGAGAGGGGGAAAUAUCAAGAGUUGGGGGAUAACCCACACAGAUGUAAGGUAAGUUGGUCGGUUGGUGAUGGCCUGGCCAUCUUUUUUGUUUGUUUUUUGACUGUGCUUCUCUGUCUUGCCUGCCUUCCUCCAUCUCCUCCACCCCAUUCCCUCUCCAGCGCCGACUUCCAACGGGGCAGCGCUGGUGCUCCGGGUCGGACCCAGUCUGCCCUGAAUACCUUCCCGACAGGCUGGUGAGCAGACUGGAACCAAGGGGUGGAGGACCGAAAGCAGCUCCCUCGGGCCAGGGAGGAGGGAAGGAGCCCCGGGCCCGGGAGGCCUGGCGACCACCUCCCCGCGC